rnacentral:rRNA from 1 species
CAUAGGUUAAUGAGGCGAACCGGGGGAACUGAAACAUCUAAGUACCCCGAGGAAAAGAAAUCAACCGAGAUUCCCCCAGUAGCGGCGAGCGAACGGGGAGGAGCCCAGAGCCUGAAUCAGUGUGUGUGUUAGUGGAAGCGUCUGGAAAGGCGCGCGAUACAGGGUGACAGCCCCGUACACAAAAAUGCACAUAUUGUGAGCUCGAUGAGUAGGGCGGGACACGUGGUAUCCUGUCUGAAUAUGGGGGGACCAUCCUCCAAGGCUAAAUACUCCUGACUGACCGAUAGUGAACCAGUACCGUGAGGGAAAGGCGAAAAGAACCCCGGCGAGGGGAGUGAAAAAGAACCUGAAACCGUGUACGUACAAGCAGUGGGAGCCUCUUAAUGGGGUGACUGCGUACCUUUUGUAUAAUGGGUCAGCGACUUAUAUUCUGUAGCAAGGUUAACCGAAUAGGGGAGCCGAAGGGAAACCGAGUCUUAACUGGGCGUUAAGUUGCAGGGUAUAGACCCGAAACCCGGUGAUCUAGCCAUGGGCAGGUUGAAGGUUGGGUAACACUAACUGGAGGACCGAACCGACUAAUGUUGAAAAAUUAGCGGAUGACUUGUGGCUGGGGGUGAAAGGCCAAUCAAACCGGGAGAUAGCUGGUUCUCCCCGAAAGCUAUUUAGGUAGCGCCUCGUGAAUUCAUCUCCGGGGGUAGAGCACUGUUUCGGCAAGGGGGUCAUCCCGACUUACCAACCCGAUGCAAACUGCGAAUACCGGAGAAUGUUAUCACGGGAGACACACGGCGGGUGCUAACGUCCGUCGUGAAGAGGGAAACAACCCAGACCGCCAGCUAAGGUCCCAAAGUCAUGGUUAAGUGGGAAACGAUGUGGGAAGGCCCAGACAGCCAGGAUGUUGGCUUAGAAGCAGCCAUCAUUUAAAGAAAGCGUAAUAGCUCACUGGUCGAGUCGGCCUGCGCGGAAGAUGUAACGGGGCUAAACCAUGCACCGAAGCUGCGGCAGCGACACUAUGUGUUGUUGGGUAGGGGAGCGUUCUGUAAGCCUGUGAAGGUGGCCUGUGAGGGUUGCUGGAGGUAUCAGAAGUGCGAAUGCUGACAUAAGUAACGAUAAAGCGGGUGAAAAGCCCGCUCGCCGGAAGACCAAGGGUUCCUGUCCAACGUUAAUCGGGGCAGGGUGAGUCGACCCCUAAGGCGAGGCCGAAAGGCGUAGUCGAUGGGAAACAGGUUAAUAUUCCUGUACUUGGUGUUACUGCGAAGGGGGGACGGAGAAGGCUAUGUUGGCCGGGCGACGGUUGUCCCGGUUUAAGCGUGUAGGCUGGUUUUCCAGGCAAAUCCGGAAAAUCAAGGCUGAGGCGUGAUGACGAGGCACUACGGUGCUGAAGCGACAAAUGCCCUGCUUCCAGGAAAAGCCUCUAAGCAUCAGGUAACAUCAAAUCGUACCCCAAACCGACACAGGUGGUCAGGUAGAGAAUACCAAGGCGCUUGAGAGAACUCGGGUGAAGGAACUAGGCAAAAUGGUGCCGUAACUUCGGGAGAAGGCACGCUGAUAUGUAGGUGAAGCGACUUGCUCGUGGAGCUGAAAUCAGUCGAAGAUACCAGCUGGCUGCAACUGUUUAUUAAAAACACAGCACUGUGCAAACACGAAAGUGGACGUAUACGGUGUGACGCCUGCCCGGUGCCGGAAGGUUAAUUGAUGGGGUUAGCGGUAACGCGAAGCUCUUGAUCGAAGCCCCGGUAAACGGCGGCCGUAACUAUAACGGUCCUAAGGUAGCGAAAUUCCUUGUCGGGUAAGUUCCGACCUGCACGAAUGGCGUAAUGAUGGCCAGGCUGUCUCCACCCGAGACUCAGUGAAAUUGAACUCGCUGUGAAGAUGCAGUGUACCCGCGGCAAGACGGAAAGACCCCGUGAACCUUUACUAUAGCUUGACACUGAACAUUGAGCCUUGAUGUGUAGGAUAGGUGGGAGGCUUUGAAGUGUGGACGCCAGUCUGCAUGGAGCCGACCUUGAAAUACCACCCUUUAAUGUUUGAUGUUCUAACGUGGGCCCCUUACCGGGGUUGCGGACAGUGUCUGGUGGGUAGUUUGACUGGGGCGGUCUCCUCCUAAAGAGUAACGGAGGAGCACGAAGGUUGGCUAAUCCUGGUCGGACAUCAGGAGGUUAGUGCAAUGGCAUAAGCCAGCUUGACUGCGAGCGUGACGGCGCGAGCAGGUGCGAAAGCAGGUCAUAGUGAUCCGGUGGUUCUGAAUGGAAGGGCCAUCGCUCAACGGAUAAAAGGUACUCCGGGGAUAACAGGCUGAUACCGCCCAAGAGUUCAUAUCGACGGCGGUGUUUGGCACCUCGAUGUCGGCUCAUCACAUCCUGGGGCUGAAGUAGGUCCCAAGGGUAUGGCUGUUCGCCAUUUAAAGUGGUACGCGAGCUGGGUUUAGAACGUCGUGAGACAGUUCGGUCCCUAUCUGCCGUGGGCGCUGGAGAACUGAGGGGGGCUGCUCCUAGUACGAGAGGACCGGAGUGGACGCAUCACUGGUGUUCGGGUUGUCAUGCCAAUGGCACUGCCCGGUAGCUAAAUGCGGAAGAGAUAAGUGCUGAAAGCAUCUAAGCACGAAACUUGCCCCGAGAUGAGUUCUCCCUGACUCCUUGAGAGUCCUGAAGGAACGU